UUUCGGGUAGACCUCCUCAGCAUGGUCGAUUUCUCGUCCGCUCAAAUUCGCCGUCCUCCAGGGUCUUUGCAAUGUGACCUUCCCAAUAUGGGCGACUUCCGGUCAGUUUUUCUUAAUCAUCCUUCCACUUCCUUUUUUUCGGGGAUCUUCUGGGCAGGGCGGACUCCAGUCCGAUCAACGAGGAGGGCACAGUUUUCCGUUCCGUAGCAUGACAUCCGACGACGACAUUCCCAGUACGGCCGAGUUCCUGUCCAUCCGCCGAGGCCGUACUCAACUUUCUGUCCGUUGGCAGCACGGUUCCCUGCUUUUUCCCGUGCUCUUUUCUGCACUACGUUGACGGAGCCGCAGGAAGGAAAAAAGGAAGCCUGCUACUGCCUCAGCUCCUUUUUAGAGGCGGGGCCGGCGGGGCACGUUCCAGGCUUUUGCCGUUCGGGUCGGGAAGGGGGUUCCGACCCGUCUCGGGGGUCUCCUCGAAGGCUGCCAAGCAAGGCAGCCGUUGAAUGGUGUUUUCCCAGCGCCCGAGUCCCGGAUGUAGAAGAACCAGUCGUAUCG